GCCGGGGUGCUGGAACUGGUAGACAGGCCAGUCUCAAAAACUGGUGGAGCUUAGCUCCGUGAGGGUUCGAUUCCCUCCCCCGGCA
rnacentral:tRNA from 1 species